rnacentral:rRNA from 1 species
GAUGAACGCUGGCGGCGUGCCUAAUACAUGCAAGUCGAGCGAACAGACGAGGAGUUUGCUCCUUAGACGUUAGCGGCGGACGGGUGAGUAACACGUAUGUAACGUACCUAUAAUACUGGGAUAACUUCGGGAAACCGGAGCUUAUACCGGAGAAUAUUUCGAACCGCAUGGUUCUGUAAUGAAAGACGGCUUGGGUAUCGCUUAUAGAUUGACUUCCGCCGGAUUAGCUAGUUGGUAAGGUAACGGCUUACCAAGGGAACGAUUGGUAGCCGACCCGAGAGGGUGAUCGGCCACACUGGAACUGAGACACGGCACAGACUCCUACGGGAGGCACCAGUACGGACUCGUCCGAAAUGGGCGAAAUCUUGCCGGAGCAACGCCGCGUGAGUGCUGAAGGUCUUCGGAUCGUAAAACUCUGUUAUGGGGGAAGAACACACGUGUAAGUAACUGUGCGCGUCUUGACGGUACCUGAUCAGAAAGCCACGGCUAACUACGUG